UUUGCUUUCCAUCAUUUUUUCCAAUAUUUAUAUAUAAUUAUAUAUAUAUACACUUGAUUUCUUCCAUCACGUCUUAUCUGCCUGAAGCAGGGAUCAGGAAGGAGGUAGUGAACGAAUGGUGGUAUCAGGUAACAUAGCUACUGUCACUACGAAGUAUUCACAACCAAUGGGAAGACUGAAUGGAUUUGAGGUUGAUCCCAAAUUCAGGGUCAAUUGAUCAGUUCCUGUGUCACAAGUAAGAUGAUCCACUUGAUCUGCCCUACCAUGCUCAGGCCUGGCUGCGCUAGGAGGCAAUGGCUUCGCAAUCUGGCGUUCAAUAUGCACAAUCUGCCCAACAAUGUAGCUGGGACGCCUUGGAAGAUGAUCAGUAAACAACGCCACAGAUUCAGAAGACAAAUAGUAGUUAGAACCAUUUCGGUUGAUUGCCUCAUAAUGCCCAGCUGAAUUGAGAACAAAUGCAGCUAUCUCAUGACCUUCCAACCGCCCGAAAGAUAUCCUUUCUUUGUUUGCCUGCUUCUCAAGUUGAUGCUUUUUAUAUAAAGUGGCAACCAGCUCCUUCUUUUCUUCCAACUCCUUUUUAAGCUGUUCAUUUGCAGCUUCCAGUUUUGGGUACUUGUCAAGCAGCUCCUCGCGAUGCCUAGACAAGAAACCAACUCUAUCUGCAAGAACCCGGAUGCAUUUUCGAAACUCAGCAGUACCAUCAUCUUCAUUGUCAUUAAUGGAAUUGCCCAAAGAUUGAGCUAACGCACGCAAGGAAUCAGCAAAACCAGCAACUCCACUCGGGCCAUAUAUACAGUUCCUAAGUCUUUCAAAAAGGCCACGCAUUUUCACAGCAGAUGCACGCAGGGCACUAUACUCUGAGGCCCUCCUAUCAGCUGCACAAAGAUGGGUUUGGGCUUCCUCUCUUGCUUCAUGCAAACAAUUCUCCAAGUGAGCACAAUUCAUCUGAGAUUCAUCAAGAAGCUUCCGACUCAUUUCCAAUUCCCUAGUAAGUACUGCAACAUCCUCCAUAGCAGCUUGGAGCUUGGAUUCAGUUUCACUCAAUUGAUUUGAUUUUUCUACAAGUGCACUUUGCAAUUCCAACACAAUAUCACAAGUGAUCUUAGGAUCAACUGCAGCAUCAGUAGGUAACACAUUUACAGCUUCAGGCAUACUCUCAGCUGUGGAACUGCUUGCCAAUGACAUGCCCAUUUGUCCCACCAUUUUAUCUUUCCCAUCUUUAUCAGCAACUUGCAGUUCUUCACGAUGUGGCUCCAUCAUUAGAGAAUCCAACUGAGUAUUUAGCAUUCCAGAGGUAUCCAUCAUAUUUUCGUCACCCCCAUCUCGAACUUUACUUGGUUGCCUUGUGAAAAGUCCUAGUUUUGCAUCCAAAGAACUAGAAAUACAAGAAACUUCAUCCAUGGGCUCUGAAGUUGAUAUAUAAGGCACAUGGGCUUGCAUAUCACCAUGGAUUUGCGGUUUGCUGUCAUCAGCCUUUGCAGCUGGAAGGUCAAAAUCAGAUGCAACAUUGCUGCUUGAAAGUUUUUGCUCCUGCAGAAACUGAUCAGACAAUCUCUGCUCUAAUUCUUGGAUACGCUUCUCAUAUGACAGACAUUGCAGUUGCUUUGCCUUAAGCAUAGAUUGGAGAUGCUUCCCAUGCUCAUCUUUCAGCUGCAAGGCUUCAGCUGUCUUCUCUGCAGCAUUCUUCAACAAACUAUCCACUUUUUCAUCAUCCACUGACUCAUAUUCAAGGCUGAGGGUACAUAUAAGCGCUUUUGCAGAAGCAAGUUCAGCUUUCAGUUUUGCAUUCUCAACUUCCAGCUUGCUAGUUCCAGCAAUCUCUACCAACUCACUGCCUUCAAGAAGCUCCUCAGAAUAGUCUUUGUCAAGAGUGUCUGCAACCAUCUCUUCCCCCUCAGCAGAAUGAGAACUGUCAUUAGACAUGGAAAAUGAGCCUUUCAAGCUUGCAUGCUUCUCACUCUUUAAAGGUAGUCCCACUAAAUACUCAGGCGCAUAAUGGUCCAGGUCUGAGAUAUCAAUAUUAAGCAAAUUUGCGUCAAAAGGAGCAAUAUUGACGUCACACUGGCUUGGAAUAUCAUACAAGCCCAUUGAAUCUAAUAUAUCCCUUGGUAUAUAUGAACUAUGUGCUUUUCGAAACUCUUCCCGUCUCCUAACCUCAGUCUCCCUCUUGGUAGCAAGCCUUUCAGCCAACUGUCCAGCCAUGCCCAUGUAAAGUUUCAUGGAGGCCUUUCUUCUUACCACUUCUGCAAGGCAAGCUCUAUAUGCAGGACCAAUCCCUCGAACCAGCUUCAGUUCAGUAAACAGAUCAUCCUGGCGCACCAUUGCUUCUCUAAAAACUGGAAACUGGAACUUAG
rnacentral:misc_RNA from 1 species